AAAUGAAUAGACGGGGGCCCGCACAAGCAGCGGAGCAUGUGGUUUAAUUCGAAGCAACGCGAAGAACCUUACCUAGACUUGACAUCCCCUGAAUUACUCGUAAUAGAGGAAAUCCCUUCGGGGACAGGGAGACAGGUGGUGCAUGGUUGUCGUCAGCUCGUGUCGUGAGAUGUUGGGUUAAGUCCCGCAACGAGCGCAACCCUUGUUAUUAGUUGCUACCAUUAAGUUGAGCACUCUAAUAAGACUGCCCGGGUCAACCGGGAGGAAGGUGGGGAUGACGUCAAAUCAUCAUGCCCCUUAUGUCUAGGGCUACACACGUGCUACAAUGGUAAGUACAGAGAGAUGCAAAUUCGCAAGGAAGAGCAAAUCUCAAAAACUUAUCCCAGUUCGGAUUGCAGGCUGAAACUCGCCUGCAUGAAGUCGGAGUUGCUAGUAAUCGCAAAUCAGAAUGUUGCGGUGAAUACGUUCCCGGGCCUUGUACACACCGCCCGU
rnacentral:rRNA from 1 species